rnacentral:rRNA from 1 species
AUUGAACGCUGGCGGCAGGCUUAACACAUGCAAGUCGAGCGGAGACUUCGGUCUUAGCGGCGAACGGGUGAGGAACGCCUGGGAAUCUGCCUAUUAGUGGGGGAUAACGUUCCGAAAGGAACGCUAAUACCGCAUACGUCCUACGGGAGAAAGCAGGGGACCUUCGGGCCUUGCGCUAAUAGAUGAGCCCAGGUCGGAUUAGCUAGUUGGUGGGGUAAAGGCUCACCAAGGCGACGAUCCGUAGCUGGUCUGAGAGGAUGAUCAGCCACACUGGAACUGAGACACGGUCCAGACUCCUACGGGAGGCAGCAGUGGGGAAUAUUGGACAAUGGGCGAAAGCCUGAUCCAGCCAUGCCGCGUGUGUGAAGAAGGCCUUCGGGUUGUAAAGCACUUUAAGCGGGGAGGAAGUACUUGGGGCUAAUAUCCCUGAGUGUUGACGUUACCCGCAGAAUAAGCACCGGCUAACUCUGUGCCAGCCGCCGCCGUAAAAC